UACGUAGGGGGCUAGCGUUGUCCGGAAUCAUUGGGCGUAAAGCGCGCGUAGGCGGCCCGGUAAGUCCGCUGUGAAAGUCAAAGGCUCAACCUUUGAAUGUCAGCGGAUACUGCCGGGCUAGAGUCCGGAAGAGGCGAGUGGAACUCCUGGUGUAGCGGUGGAAUGCGCAGAUAUCAGGAAGAACACCAACGGCGAAGGCAGCUCGCUGGGACGGAACUGACGCUGAGACGCGAAAGCGUGGGGAGCAAACAGG
rnacentral:rRNA from 1 species